GAAGUGAAGGCCGAGACUUCGGCCCGGAAUGGACAAUGUUUGGGUUUGGAUCCGUCCGGUAGGAGGUCGCUCGGGGUUGGUGGCCCGCCUUGUUCUUGCUGGCGCCUCCCUUACCCCAGGGACGGUGUCCGCCCGUUUAUAUGCACCCCCUGAACGCGAGGGUCGGAGAUUCGCCCACGCCCCGUGUCGGCCACGCAUUCCCGUGGGGCGGCCGCGGGGUCGGCCCAAGCUGAGAGUCAUGGCCGCUGUCCCCGAGGCGUUUAAGCGCUCUCUACAAAGUCUGUAGGGGAAGCUGCUCCCGUCGGGGUGGCAGUCACAAUCUCAGCAGGCAACGUUGAGGCCCACGGAAGGAAGGGGCGAGGUGUCCAUGCUCCUGCCAGGGACUGGAGCACCGUGAGCAGCCUCCCGAGUCUCGCACUCUCACUUGCAAAACCCUGCACUGACUGCUUGGUUCUUGGGGGAGCCGGUAAUCGCGGGGCGACUUCCCAAAAUUCUUUAAGGGGUGUGCUUAGUUACCAUGUGUAAUGAGAGAGCAAGGUUCAGCCUCAGAGAGCUCCAGGGAGAGCUAAUCUUUUUCAUUCGUUUGUGGUAUAUGGAACUGGGGAGAGGCUGGAACAGCAAUUAGAAACCAGUCGUACAGCUGUCGAAGCCAAUGAACGAGCACUUCUUUUAGCAGCUGUACCUUUGUCCAGUGUCAAUGCCUUUUCACACGUAAACAUUUCACUUGCUCGGCAUCUUACCCAGACCCCUAAUAAGUGCUUUUUAAUGAACGAUUGGUUUUAAUAAACCGUGGUGAGCCAGACAUAUAAUGUUGAACAGAAGUCCUCUCACACCCAUAACCACUAGAGGGCAGGGCUUCACCUACUGAGUUGGUGAUCAUCCUACAGAGAACUCAAAAGAAAAUUUCCGUAUAUGCUAGAUGUGUUUUUCUCCAUCAACACUUAGACACUUUACAAAUUUGCUUUUUAUCUCAGGUCCUGUAACAUAUCGCAGUGUGCUCUCUAACCACACGUUCAACAUCAGAAUUAACGGACGGGGUUGCCUGUGUUUCUAUAUUUGUUCCCAAGUACCUGCUGCCACCACCACACCAAAU
rnacentral:lncRNA from 1 species